UACGUAGGGCGCAAGCGUUGUCCGGAAUUACUGGGCGUAAAGGGCGCGUAGGCGGUCUUGUAAGUCCUGUGUGAAAUCCCUCGGCUCAACUGAGGAACUGCACGGGAAACUGCUUGGCUUGAGUUCGGGAGAGGGAAGCGGAAUUCCGGGUGUAGCGGUGAAAUGCGUAGAUAUCUGGAGGAACACCGGUGGCGAAGGCGGCAUCCUGGACCGGCAUUGACGCUGAGGAGCGAAAGCCAGGGGAGCAAACGGG
rnacentral:rRNA from 1 species